rnacentral:rRNA from 1 species
CCGGCACGGGUGGAGUAACGACGUGUGCAACCUACGCCCGGCCGACAGUGGGAGUAAUACCGGACGAAAUACCCGGUCUAAUACCGCAUGACGCGGGAGAGGCGCAUGCCCUUUCCGCCAAAGGAGGCGACUCCGGUGCCGGCUGGGCACGCGUGACAUUAGCUAGUUGGCGGGGCGACGGCCCACCAAGGCGACGAUGUCUAGGGGUUCUGAGAGGAAGGUCCCCCACACUGGUACUGAGACACGGACCAGACUCCUACGGGAGGCAGCAG